rnacentral:rRNA from 1 species
UACGGGGGGGGCAAGCGUUGUUCGGAAUUACUGGGCGUAAAGGGCUCGUAGGCGGCCAACUAAGUCAGACGUGAAAUCCCUCGGCUUAACCUGGGAACUGCGUCUGAUACUGGAAGGCUUGAGUUCGGGAGAGGGAUGUGGAAUUCCAGGUGUAGCGGUGAAAUGCGUAGAUAUCUGGAGGAACACCGGUGGCGAAGGCGGCAUCCUGGACCGAAACUGACACUGAGGCGCGAAAGCCAGGGGAGCAAACGGG